UGGGGAAUAUUGGACAAUGGGCGCAAGCCUGAUCCAGCAAUGCCGCGUGUGUGAAGAAGGCCUUCGGGUUGUAAAGCACUUUUAUCAGGAGCGAAACGCUGUCGGCUAAUACCCGGCGGAACUGACGGUACCUGAGGAAUAAGCACCGGCUAACUUCGUGCCAGCAGCCGCGGUAAUACGAAGGGUGCAAGCGUUAAUCGGAAUUACUGGGCGUAAAGCGUGCGUAGGCGGUUUCUUAAGUCUGCUGUGAAAUCCCCGGGCUCAACCUGGGAAUGGCAGUGGAUACUGGGAGGCUAGAGUGUGUCAGAGGGUGGUGGAAUUCCCGGUGUAGCGGUGAAAUGCGUAGAGAUCGGGGGGAACAUCAGUGGCGAAGGCGGCCACCUGGGACAACACUGACGCUGAGGCACGAAAGCGUGGGGAGCAAACAGGAUUAGAUACCCUGGUAGUCCACGCCCUAAAACGAUGCGAACUGGAUGUUGGUCUCAACUCGGAGAUCAGUGUCGAAGCUAACGCGUUAAGUUCGCCGCCUGGGGAGUACGGUCGCAAGACUGAAACUUAAAUGAAUUGAC
rnacentral:rRNA from 1 species